CAACUUUCGACAACGGAUCUCUUGGUUCUCCCAUCGAUGAAGAACGCAGCGAAACGCGAUAGUUAAUGUGAAUUGCAGAAUUCAGUGAAUCAUCGAGUCUUUGAACGCAUCUUGCGCUCCUUGGUAUUCCGAGGAGCAUGCCUGUUUGAGUGUCA
rnacentral:rRNA from 1 species